CUGGUUGAUUCUGCCAGUUGUCAUAUGCUUGUUUAAAAGAUUAAAGCCAUGCAAGUGUAAGUAUAAACACGAUUUGUACUGUGAGACUGCGAAUGGCUCAUUAAAUCAGUAAUAAUUUAAUCAAUAGUAGUGUUUUUAUUCGAAAGAAGAAAAAUAUAAAUGGAUAACUGUGGUAAAUCUAGAGCUAAUACAUGCUUAAAAGAUCAAGAAUAUAUUGAUUGCGUAUAUUAGAUAAAAAACUAUGCUGUUUAAACAGAAUAGAUGAUUCAAAAUAUCCGUGCAGAUCGUACAAUAUCAUCGUUUGUGGUGAUGACGACAAAUUGAAAAAAUUUCUGCCCUAUCAACUUUGGAUUGUAGUGUAGUGUACUACAAUGGUUUUGACGGGUAACGGGGAAUUACGGUUCGAUUCCGGAGAGGAAGCCUGAGAAACGGCUACCACUUCCAAGGAAGGCAGCAGGCGCGCAAAUUACCCAAUUCCAAUACGGAGAGGUAGUGACAAAAAAUAACAAUGAUUGGACCAAAAAGGUUAAUCAAUUGGAAUGAGAACAAAUUAAAAUAAUUAUCGAGAAUCAAUUGGAGGGCAAGUCUGGUGCCAGCAGCCGCGGUAAUUCCAGCUCCAAUAGCGUAUACGGUCAGUGUUGCAGUUAAAAAGCUCGUAGUUGGAUUUAGGGGGGAAUAUAAAGAGAUAUUUUUUAAAUGAAUAAUUUAAAAAAUAUUUCAUCCUUUCAAAAUAUCCUUAUUAAACUUUAGUAAGGAUUAAUUUACUUUGAAUAAAUUAGAGUGUUUCAAACAAAUUUCUUUUAAUAGAAAUAAUAUGAAUAGAUUAGCAUGGGAUAAUAAAAUAAGAUUUUUCUUGGCACUUUUUUAGUAUAGUUGUGAGAAGAAAAAUAAUGAUUAAUAGGAACGGUUGGGGGUAUUCGUAUUGAAUUGUCAGAGGUGAAAUUCAUGGAUUUAUUCAAGACGAACAUCAGCGAAAGCAUUUACCAAAGACGUUUUCAUUAAUCAAGAACGAAAGUAGGGGGAUCGAAGAUGAUCAGAUACCGUCGUAGUCUCUACCAUAAACUAUGUCGACUAAUUUUAUUAUUUUUUUCACUAGAGUUUAGUAAUAGACUCAAUCGAAUAAUAAUAAAAUUUAAAAGAAAUUAAAAGUAUUUAGAUUCUGGGGGGAGUACGGUCGCAAGGCUGAAACUUAAAGGAAUUGACGGAAGGGCACCACCAGGUGUGGAACCUGCGGCUUAAUUCGACUCAACACGGGGAAACUUACCAGGUCCAGACACAGGAAGGAUUGACAGAUUAAAGUUCUUUCUUGAUUCUGUGGAAAGUGGUGCAUGGCCGUUCUUAGUUGGUGGAGUGAUUUGUCAGGUUAAUUCCGUUAACGAACGAGACCUUAACUUAUUUAUUAGUUAAUAUAAUUGAAAUUUAUUUUUGAUUGUAAAUUGAAAUUAACUUCUUAAAAGGACAUUUAAUAUACAAAAAUUAAAGGAAGUUUAAGGCAAUAACAGGUCUGUGAUGCCCUUUAGAUGUUCUGGGCUGCACGCGCGUUACACUGAAAAUUUCAAUAAGUUUUCUUUUUAUCUCUUCUUUUUGAAUGUGAUAAUUUCCUGAAUUGAAAAAUUUAGGUAAACUUUAAAUAAUUUUCGUGGUGGGGAUUAAUAAUUGUAAUUUUUUAUUAUGAACGAGGAAUACCUAGUAAGUGCAAUUCAUCAAAUUGCGCUGAUUACGUCCCUGCCCUUUGUACACACCGCCCGUCGCUCCUACCGAUGAAUGGUCCGGUGAAAUUUUAAGAUUGUCACAGAAUUUUUUUUGUGAUAAAAAUUUAAUUAAACCUUACCAUUUAGAGGAAGGAGAAGUCGUAACAAGGUAUCCGUAGGUGAACCUGCAGAAGGAUCA
rnacentral:rRNA from 1 species